rnacentral:lncRNA from 1 species
GCCUGCGGGGCCCGGCUUCUCCCCGGGGAGGUGGCGCCUCAAGGUCGACCUCUGCUGUGAUGCAGACAGGAUCCUGCUGCAGUCCCCUCAGUCCACUUAGUAAAUUGCUGUGUGGGCCAAGAUGUGGACUCCGCCGGCCCCGACCCUCCGCUGUUCCCGGUCCCGGAUUAGCUAAUGAAUACCCGCGUAGCCACAGACCCCGAGCCCGCAGACUGCGCUCAGAUGCCAGCACUGAGGGUUAUUUUAUUUUAGGUACCGCGGGCUGUGUGUGGCAGGGACAAUUACACAAGCUAAAGUCAUCGAUUUCCACUGAAAAUCCUGCUGUCUCCUCCAGCUGAAUUAUGGUGGCAGCUUUUUUUUUUUUUUUUUUAAACAGCCCAUCUUCAAACAGUGAGGAGGUGGAAGCUGAGGUUCCUUUCUCCACGCACCUUCCAGCGACUUCUGCUCAAGAACUGACCUCUAUGUCUGCCUCCCAACGCUGGCAUCGCACCUUGCUCUGCGAGAGACCCUUGUGUCAGCGCUCUUGAGCUGUAUUGAUUUUCAGAAGACUUUUAAGUAUAAAUCACAUUUUCCCCAAACUGAAUCACAACUCUAACAAAUCCCAGCUACGCAGAAAAGCCUAGUUGGGUCCUGUGGUAUAACCUAAAUUGAUAUUCUCCAUAAAUCCACAGCUAUUGCAUUCAUAUAUUCACAUUUCCUAUUCAAGGUGGUAAAGGAAGUGCAAUUUUAAAGAAAUGAUUAUUUAUACUCCCUGGUGUUCAGGCUUGAGGGGUUCAAGAGACAUUCAGACAGCUCUCAGAAGAACAUAAACCUUGCAAAAGUACAUGGAAUUUAUCAACGACAUUGACAUAGGGCCCACGUGACGUAUAUGUUCAAUAUUAAAGACGUUUGCUCUCUCUAAUAGUUAAAAGCCACGAGGGAAAUUUGUAAAAACUCCAGUCUAAUUAAAGUUUGUACUUGAAAUUCCAGAUUCCAUGUGGCGUGAACAUUUCUGAGCUUUUCAUCAGAAGAGGAAGGGUCGGGUUUUCAAGUAGACGCGUGUAAAGACUUCGGGACAGAGGCACCUGCGGCUUGAACGAGUGGCCCCGUUAGCUCCUGGGGAAACAAUACCAGAUCAAGAGCAUCCUUCCUCCGUGUCUACCCCAGAAGCUGCCUGACUUCUAGAUGAUGCCAGCACCUGCAGUCCUGACGCAUCUCUGCCUUCUGAAACUGCACGUUCUGCCUGCCAGCAAUUCACAGACACACGAACACUCCCAUGUCUUAUUUAAAUUGUAAACCUUUCUCGAUCCAGCCUCUCUGCGGAUUAUAGCCUCUCCCUCCCUCUGCAGUGAACUUCCGGAAAGUUUCAAAGUGCAGUCUGCAUUCUUUAUCAACUUCCUCCUCCUUCAUCUCCUUCACCCUCACACCCUGCAAAACUCCACUCAGAGCCAGCACACUGCACAGAUGUCUCUCAGUCCCCCCUCUUCCCCUGGCCUUGACAGCUUUGCACACUGGGGACUGCAUGCUCUGUCCUUGACUUGGGGUUUCCUGGCAGCACCUGGAGGGGCCUGGCUGCAACUCUUCUCUGCUAAGGUUCCCAUGAAUCCCUGGAGUCUUUCAUGGUGUGAACGGCUACUUUUUUUGGGUCGUGUUUAUUGAAAAGUUUCAGAAACUUCUGCAUCCUUAGUUCCCCAAGUUAGGGUUUUUAACUAUUACUUCUCUCUGGAGGGAAUCAGGGCUGGUUGGAGAAGGCUGAUUUCGUAAACAGAAUGGGGUAACCUCUAACACAGCCUUGCACUGGAAAGCAGGGAUGCACUAGGAGCCUUCUGAGGUCUUGGGACAAGCUGGGGCAAAACUGGCACAGCUUAAUGUCACAAACAGCCGUAACUGCAGUGGCUCCAAAACAUUUCAAUUACGUUGAAGUCUAUUUGUUCAUAAUGUUAUUUUCUAAAAUACAUUGAUUACCUUUGAAGAGUGCUAAGGAACCCAACUCAUUAUUUUUAAAAGCUGGCAAAGAAAAGAAACGAAGUGACCAUUUAUUAUCUUGACUUUCUUGUACAAACUAUCCCCAGACUAUAACCAAAUAAUUGAUGAUGGCAAGUUUCUCUCCAUAGAUGCAAGCCAGCUAAUAAGUGAGGCAGGGAUGUUAGAAUUAGAAUAGCACAGUUUUGCAGGCCCUUAUGAUUUAGUGAAUCUUGGCAUUGAAUGUAUAUGGCAGAGGGACAGAGGGAGAGAGAGAGCAAACCCAUCCCAGAUGGAAGCCCACCACGCUGCCUGUAGCCUGUCCUUCCUCAGAUAAUCAAACCUGACUCUGGCCAAGCCUGUACAGCAUAGGAUUCUCCAGGGGCCCAAAUCUGGCCCACAUUUGUAGAAAUAAAAGUUCUAUGGAAGAUAGCCACAUGCAUUUGUUCAGGGAGCUGUGACAGGCAGUGUCAGCCACAGAGCUUCGUGUAUUUACCAUCACUUACGAGACAAUUAGAGGGAUAUAAAC